GAAUCGCUAGUAAUCGUGGAUCAGAAUGCCACGGUGAAUACGUUCCCGGGCCUUGUACACACCGCCCGUCACACCAUGGGAGUGGGUUGCAAAAGAAGUAGGUAGCUUAACCUUCGGGAGGGCGCUUACCACUUUGUGAUUCAUGACUGGGGUGAAGUCGUAACAAGGUAACCGUAGGGGAACCUGCGGUUGGAUCACCUCCUUACCUUAAAGAAGC
rnacentral:rRNA from 3 species